UAGGACUACUCGGGUUUCUAAUCCUGUUUGCUCCCCACGCUUUCGUGCAUGAGCGUCAGUACAGGUCCAGGGGAUUGCCUUCGCCAUCGGUGUUCCUCCGCAUAUCUACGCAUUUCACUGCUACACGCGGAAUUCCAUCCCCCUCUACCGUACUCUAGCGAUGCAGUCACAGAUGCAAUUCCCAGGUUGAGCCCGGGGAUUUCACAACUGUCUUGCAUCACCGCCUGCGCACGCUUUACGCCCAGUAAUUCCGAUUAACGCUCGCACCCUACGUAUUACCGCGGCUGCUGGCAC
rnacentral:misc_RNA from 1 species